GUAUUGGUUGGUCGACUACCUUUUGAAAAUGUAGAACAAAUAGAAUGGUACUUCCAUAUAACUGAUAUUUGAGGAAAAAUCUUAGCUCCAAACAAGUCAUCUUCAAUAUAACUCUACUUAAUUGUGCAUUAACGGAUCUGUAAUAAAGAUAUCUUGGGAUAACACCAUUUUAUUAGUCUCAAAAUGAUGAUGCAUCUGACCUUGUGCGACCAAGAAUAACCUGAACACGUAUACAUGACCAAAAAAACUUUAAGAAUUUCCGUUAUGAGUCGACUCUGCAAUUGGCAUAAUUACCACUACCUGAUAGGAAAACCAAUUUCAACAGAAAUAAGAUCAGCAUUAAGUUUGUCUUUGAAGUUAAAAAUU